UUGCAUCAUGAUUUACAUUUGAGUGAGUGGCGAACUGGUGAGUAACACGUGGGAAACCUGCCCAGAAGCGGGGGAUAACACCUGGAAACAGAUGCUAAUACCGCAUAACAACUUGGACCGCAUGGUCCGAGCUUGAAAGAUGGCUUCGGCUAUCACUUUUGGAUGGUCCCGCGGCGUAUUAGCUAGAUGGUGGGGUAACGGCUCACCAUGGCAAUGAUACGUAGCCGACCUGAGAGGGUAAUCGGCCACAUUGGGACUGAGACACGGCCCAAACUCCUACGGGAGGCAGCAGUAGGGAAUCUUCCACAAUGGACGAAAGUCUGAUGGAGCAACGCCGCGUGAGUGAAGAAGGGUUUCGGCUCGUAAAACUCUGUUGUUAAAGAAGAACAUAUCUGAGAGUAACUGUUCAGGUAUUGACGGUAUUUAACCAGAAAGCCACGGCUAACUACGUGCCAGCAGCCGCGGUAAUACGUAGGUGGCAAGCGUUGUCCGGAUUUAUUGGGCGUAAAGCGAGCGCAGGCGGUUUUUUAAGUCUGAUGUGAAAGCCUUCGGCUCAACCGAAGAAGUGCAUCGGAAACUGGGAAACUUGAGUGCAGAAGAGGACAGUGGAACUACAUGUGUAGCGGUGAAAUGCGUAGAUAUAUGGAAGAACACCAGUGGCGAAGGCGGCUGUCUGGUCUGUAACUGACGCUGAGGCUCGAAAGUAUGGGUAGCAAACAGGAUUAGAUACCCUGGUAGUCCAUACCGUAAACGAUGAAUGCUAAGUGUUGGAGGGGUUCCGCCCUUCAGUGCUGCAGCUAACGCAUUAAGCAUUCCGCCUGGGGAGUACGGCCGCAAGGCUGAAACUCAAAGGAAUUGACGGGGGCCCGCACAAGCGGUGGAGCAUGUGGUUUAAUUCGAAGCUACGCGAAGAACCUUACCAGGUCUUGACAUACUAUGCAAAUCUAAGAGAUUAGACGUUCCCUUCGGGGACAUGGAUACAGGUGGUGCAUGGUUGUCGUCAGCUCGUGUCGUGAGAUGUUGGGUUAAGUCCCGCAACGAGCGCAACCCUUAUUAUCAGUUGCCAGCAUUAAGUUGGGCACUCUGGUGAGACUGCCGGUGACAAACCGGAGGAAGGUGGGGAUGACGUCAAAUCAUCAUGCCCCUUAUGACCUGGGCUACACACGUGCUACAAUGGAUGGUACAACGAGUUGCGAACUCGCGAGAGUAAGCUAAUCUCUUAAAGCCAUUCUCAGUUCGGAUUGUAGGCUGCAACUCGCCUACAUGAAGUCGGAAUCGCUAGUAAUCGCGGAUCAGCAUGCCGCGGUGAAUACGUUCCCGGGCCUUGUACACACCGCCCGUCACACCAUGAGAGUU
rnacentral:rRNA from 1 species